GUAGCUGGCAUUAAGCACCAGCAGGUAGUAAAAUGCUUCUAAUUAUUCCCAUGCCCCUCAAUUUUCACAGCUCCACUUUUUAUAGUGAAUUCUUCUGUUUACUUUUUCUGGAGUUAAUUUUUUUUUUUUUUUUUUUUUUUUUUUUUCAGGCAAACAAGAGCACAAAUAUGGUUUGUUACUCAAAAUAAACCGCCACGAUCUGUGAUUUGUGUACAAAACAUGCAUGUUAUGGGAAUGACAUAUACAGCAUGCUGCAUAAAAACACAUUUUCACGAGGAACCAUGUCAGACACAGCAGAUUCCUUCUCUAAACAAAGAGAAGUUUUGUUUGCUAAGUCAUUUUUUUCCCCUCUGGCUGUAACAGCUAGGGAGAAGUUUUUAAAAUUCUUCAUUUCUAUGCAAUUUGCACAGUUUUCACGAGGUAUUUUCCAGCUCCGUGUAUUGCCCAAAGCCCAGGCUGCAAGCACAGAUGCUGACUGCGAGCAGGGAAUGCUGAGGAACGCCGAAAGCCAGGAAAAGUCUGAAUGUGAAUGUGCAAAUCCAGCACUUGGUGAAUUUGUCCCCACGUGUCCCUAUUUUUAUCAGCAAAGCUUUUUGAAACCGAUGCAUUGCAGAGGCGGUUUCUUAGCAAUUUCUGGCCAGGAUUUCCCAUGCCCUCUUGCACAGGACUUACACCUGCAGAUGUGGCUGCCGCCGGUGCCUGCUGCUUGGACCCCAGCUCCAUCCCUGCACCAAGAAGCAUCGUCCUGCUACCGUGUGUCACAAAACAUCCUCUGCUCCUUAAGGCACCAGCUUCGACUCCUGCAAAUAGCCUGUUGCAGAAAUGAGGAGAAAUGAGGGAGGACUCCCACCCUCUAAUGGUAAGUGAAAUGGUGGUAAGUGUCUACACAUAUUUUCACUACUUAUGCUCUUACAGAGAGGAAUGGAAAAGGUCCUUUCAUCAGUAACUGUGGCAGAUUGAGGAGUAGAAGCCUAAAGGACAAAAAAUGAGUUAUUUUGAAUUUAAUUGGGCCACCCUCGUAAAUGUUUUCCUGCAUGCAGCUAGGCAGGCAGCAGAGAUGAAUUGGAGAGAAGCCACAUAUCCUGUAAACACCCAUCAGCCUCACUAAAUGCAGUGGAAGGAGUCGCCACAGAAAUGUUGUGCAACGGAGAAGGAAUUUUCUCAGCGUUAUCUUGGCCCUGCUCUCCAGCUGCUUUUCCCUCUUGCACAAGAUGUACAACAAAACAGGGACGUGUGUGUUUGCUUGUGGGAGCUUCCUGAGGGCCGAAGCAGAGCCAAGCGCGAGCCUCAGCUCCUCCGGAUGCACAGACUGCUGAGUUCAUCUCCUCCUCUCCUGGUGGGAGUCCGUCCCCGUCCAACCCCAGUGGGCGGCAGGCACUGACUCACCAACCACCCCAGCUCGCCCUCAGCUGAUGACUAUUGUGUGCUUUCAUCCUGGGUUUUAUGAUUCUGGGCCUCCAGUGUGGCCAGAUGAAGAUGUUCAAGUCUGAUAAUUGUCUUAAAGAGCCAGUGAUUUGCUAGCAACACUAUUUAUUUUUUCCUAUAUAUCAUCUUGGAUUUUAUUUUUUAUUUUAUUUUUUAUUUUUUUUUAAUAAGACACAUGGAUCUCAAAAGUGGCAGGCACUUCUUCCUUAAGAAAGUGUCUUUUUGGCACUGCAGCCUUUCAGGAGACAUGACAGGUCUUUUGUAGUAUGUGCUUUUUUUAACGAAUGCAUCGAGGAAGUUUCAAUGCAACUCAAACAUUGCAGAGGCAGUUCGGAUGACAACGAUUAUACCUGCUAGAAAGGCUUUUUUCCUCCUGUAACAACCCCCUUCCCGUACGUUUUGCAUGCAUCU
rnacentral:lncRNA from 1 species